AUAUUCUAGAGUGUGCGGGCGGGGCAGAAGGGACUGCGUAAAGGUUCGAUAGCACAAGGGCGCGUGCAGAUCUCUGAGUGGCUGACGGGCCUAGUUGUGACGUUGCUGCACUAAAUGGAGGCGUAGUAGUAGAGAAAGAUCAUCGUGCAGCAACAAUCCAAGCUCUUCUGAGAUACCAGUUAAAGCACAGUAGCACUGUUUUUGUUUUUUCGUUCCUUGUCCCCAGUUAGUCCCUAAAACAGAAUAUCCAGAUUCGUGUUUAAACCGGUCUGGUCGGCAUUCGGGACGUGGUCUGCUUCGGCCCGUGCUGAUACAACAGUUAGCCAUCAGCGUAUGGAAAGACGACACAAUACGCGUCAUGCGGCUGCUCUAGCAGCAGCGGCGGCUGCGGUAGCUGCUUCCUCCGUCAGUCCAGAGUGCCCCGAUUUAGAGAAAGAGAAGGAAGAAGACCCCCCUACAAGUCAGAGCUCAAUAUCGGAAACAGUGGAUAUGAACAAACGAGAAAUGUAUGAUAGAUUUAAGUGCUGGGCCAUGAAGACUUACGGUGAUAGUGCUAAAACCAAGACAGUUACUCGAAAAAAGUACUCAAGAAUAAUGAAGAUAUUAAAAGGAGAAGAACACAGCAAUGCUGAGAACUCCAAAUUUCGCUUUUGGGUAAAAGCCAAAGGAUUUCGCAUUGGUCCUCCGACAGGCCAAAGAUCGGAAGGAGGGCGAAGUGACCAGGUUCUCUAUGUACCGUGCACCAAGCUGUCUCCUGGAACCGGUAAAGAAGACACUGUAUAUAAGAAGGUGGCUGUUGUUGAAAACUUUUUUAACAUCAUCUAUGAAGUUCACGUUGAUAAGGACGUACGUGGAGGAAAACAUGCAGGACAAAAACGCACUUAUAAAACCAUAGCCGAAACUUACGCUUUCCUGCCGCGUGAGGCGGUAACUCAUUUUCUGAUGUCCUGCGCCGACUGUCAGAAAAGAAUGCAUGUUGCGACAGAGUGUGACGGGAAAAGUGGUUACUAUGGAAACAAGGAUCGUCGUGUCAGAAGUGGGGCCAAUUCUCCUGGAUCAGGCUCUCCAGUUCUAGAAGAGAACAACACCCCCCAACUAACAACUGACAUUGAUUACAACCUACCCAUAACAACAACUUAUUUGAAACGUAUGAGAAGCUUGGGCUUUUCAAAAGAAGAAGCUUUAAAUUUUGACAGAGAGGAAAUUACUUCAAACACUGAGAGCGAGAGCAGCGAGAACGAAACAGCAGCGCUCUCUACUACAGACGGGGGAAAUUAUUCUACAAUGAUUGAAGCUAACGGAGCUCAUCAUAUUUUACGAGAAGAUGAAGACAGAAAAGAAAGUACAAAUGAAGAGAUCCCUAACGAAGAAACUGGAACUUCCCCAAAAGACACACCUCUUGAUAUGAGUGCGUUAAAAAGAGAAAACGGUGAAGUUAAAUGUUCCGAGGAAGAACCAAUCAACAUGAUCAAAACCGCGGACAUCAACAGCUCUGAUCAGUGUCGUCCUCUACAUUAUUGGACAAGUCCCAACAUCGAAACUUCGGCAACUCUCGACGGCAUAAAGGAAGACGAAGACGAUGACGAAGAAGAUGACACAGACAGAAUUGACGUAAAUGCAUACGACCCUGAACGACUGAAGGCUUUUAAUAUGUUUGUUCGGUUGUUCAUCGACGAAAAUCUAGAUCGGAUGGUACCAAUCUCCCGUCAACCAAAGGAUAAGAUACAGGCUAUUAUUGAUUCGUGCUCUCGGCAGUUUCCGGAAUUCUCCGACCGAGCUCGGAAACGAAUAAGAACUUAUCUCAAAUCUUGCAGAAGAACAAAACGAGCACGGGAUCAUAAUGGUUGGGAUUUUGACCGAUCUGCGCCACAUCUAUCGUCUCCGUUGGCCGAACAAAUUCUGUCAAUAGCAUGUGAUAAUGAAAGUCAGAACGCCAAACGAAUGCGGUUAGGCCUAAAGCCUAUUUCAGUUUCUCUGUCUGAAAUUGAUCGAGCUCGUAGUGGUAUACCAAGUUCCUCUACUAUGACGUCAUACACUGAAGCAGCUAACACCUCACGUUUUACAGCGACGCCUGUAAAAAAUACAUUUGUACAUCCUCAGGAAACCCAACUCCAUGCUCAAUUCACUAAACCUAUCCAGCACUCCUUACUACAGACCAAUCGAAAUUUUCCAGCUUCAAUGUCAUCACAAACUUCGGUUGCUCCAACUCGACUCAAAAUUGUGAACGGUGUCACCUGUGAAUCACAACCGUCCAGCAAUUCAUUACUGUCAAGUAGCGUCACCUAUCGGGGUCUACCUCAGUUUCAUAUUGCUGUAACAGAGACGACAGCGUCUCACUCCAAAAAUUCACACCAGGUGACACUUUCUAGUGGCACUCUAACGAAUGGUCCAACCGAUCUGACUGUUAAGAAGCCUUCCAUUCCACGUUAUUCACUUAAUCCAAAUGAGGCCAACGCUGUCAGACAAUUAAUUGCUGGUUACCGUGAAUCGGCUACGUUUUUACUACGAUCAGCCGACGAACUGGAACAAUUACUAAUGCAGCAGAAUUAACGACAACUCGAACUGAUAAGACAGAAAACUUAGUUUCGUUCUCUUAAAGAUAAAUGUAAUAUAUUUGUUGGUAUAUGAUCGACAAAUGAAGAGAAUUUGGUACCAUUUUAUGUCAUGAAUCAAUGUUGGCCUCUUCAGGGAAUUUUUGUAAAACAUAAAACUCAAACUAAUUAUUAUUAGGCUGAAUAAGACAAUUUGACUUGUAGCAGUGCCAACUUUUUUUUAUCUUGAUGGGCCGAUUCCUACAUGGACACAAUUCCUUUUUUCGAAUCAAUUAUUCCGUUGAUUUGUAUUCACGACGUCACGUACUUGAGUGGCAUUACUAUUUUCAGAUCAAAUCUUCUGUUGAUCUGAAUCAGUGACACCAUUUUCAAUGUUAAACACCAUUAUUUAGGUGAAUUGUGGUACUUGUAUUUAACGUUUUAUUGUGGUAAACUUACAAAAAUAUUUCAAUGUCGUUACACUAAUGAUCCGUUCAUACCUUUGUGGUAGCUUACGUUAAUAAAAUCAAAAACAAAUUAUUAAAUCGGAACAAGAUAAAACAGUAAUAAUUUUGCAUAUAUGCACCAAUAUGGCAGGUUAAUGCAUGCUCAAGAUACGAAAAGAGUCCAACAUAGAGAGGUCUGCUCUCUGGAACUACCACUCACCAAAACACCACUUCCACAGCAUCCAGAGUACAUAUCUAGACACUUGCUUUCAGAACCUUUGUCUCUGAAUCAUAAAAGAUCAUUUACACGGCCAAUUUGGUAAGCUACUUCAACACUUUGCAUGGAGGCUCAGUAAAAUACUGCGCGUGUCUUGUUUUCCUGAUCCCAGCUUGGUGUGUUCAUUUCUCUUUCACGGAUAUUAAUUUGGUACGAUUGUACAAGAAAUAACAAAUAACUAAGUUUAUGGGUAUAUUUACACGUCAAGAAAUACAGUUUGUAUAACAAAAAUAAAAUCACCUCCUUCAACAGCAUAAGUACUUUUAUCGUAUUUACUAGGUGGCUCAGCGGUAAGCUCCGGAGCUGAAAAUACUAAAAUCGUGGUUCGAUACCCGCGUUAGGUACAGCGAGAUAGCUCAUUAUGUAGCUUUGCGUUUAACAAGAAACAAACAAGUUUAUGUGAAAUUAUCACCUCACACAAAUAUGAACUUCAUUAAAUAGCAUAAAAAAUAAGUAUGUUAGAUUAAAAAGUUCAAAUAUGAAUUUUUGGAGAAAUCUUUGAAUUGUCAAAUGUUUGUGGGAAAAUUAAAUAUUUUUGUAUGUGUUGAAACUGCCAUCACACAGAACCAGUUGUUGACAAUCCUUCGUUUUUACUUAAGUGCCCCAUUUUGAGUUACUAAUCUUAAAUUAGAUACUGAAUAAAGAUAGUUUUGUAUUUUUUCACUAGUAUAGGAAUUCCCAAAACAAGUUAACAGGAAAUUUAUAAGAAGGAUAUAAUUUCAUAAAAUGUAAUUACCUGUUUACUUAUCUUUUAUAUCAGCCAUACUUUAAUUGCUUAGUAAAACAAUGGAUUUAGUCCCAUCCUAUGAAAAUCACAGUAACCACUUCAGUCGAGUUUUAAAACAAGGCUUAAAAGCUUACUACAUUUAGAUCAUUUCAUUUAAAGGACUUACUAAUGAAAUUUCAUCUAACUAUUUUUGAAACUGUUCGACAGUCGACUCUUAGCUAUCUAAAUGAUGCUUCUUAAGUAAUUUCUAACUCGAAGCAAGUUAUUGAAAAAAUUAUACAUAACUACUUUUUCUUUAAGUCCUCGUAUUACUUUAGAAAAUUCGACAUUCCAACUUAAAAAACAACAGAUUUGCGAUGUCCAAAUUUUGAAUUUUCGAUCCUAAACACACAAAGAUACCACUGACAGAAAAGCAUUCCCAAAUCAUUCUCAUAGAGUUCAACAUUGACAGAAAACUGCCUCCCAAAUAAUUCUGCCAAACUGUAGCUCAAAACUGACAGAAAGGGAUUCCCGAUAUUCUGUUAAACUGAAAAGAUUUAAAAAAUGAA
rnacentral:misc_RNA from 1 species